GGGGCCACGGUCUGAGCCCGACUCACCCUUCCGCCGGAGCCCGCCCCGCGGCCCCGCCUCUCCUCAGCGCUGACCUCCGCGCCGGGACCCCUGGCCACCCCGACCAGCCAUCGCCGAGGUGCCGACCGAUAAACUGGGGACGCCAGCUGAAUGGACGGUGUCACCGACGCUGAUGGACCGACUGGCCGACCACAGGAAGAGACAGUCAGGGGGCCGGGGGACCAGUAGAAGGCUGAACUGAGCUCCUCCCAGCUCCUUAGAGCCUCGUCUCUGGAUCUGGACUCCUGGAUUCUGUUCCUUCCCUGGGCACCUCCUUCAGGAAGACUUCUCGAAUCGACCUUACACAAGCAUGGCGCCCUCCUCACUUCACAGGAGCCCUUCACUUUAUAGUGGCAAGGGGCUGGAUUCUGGGGAAGUUGCCUAUACUAUGAAUUUCUUUAUAUAUGCCACAUAUGACUUUGGCUUACACUGUACAAUUGGAAAUGUUACAAUUAUACAGGUCCUUGAGAUGCAAUCAGAUUAUUUAAGAGAGCAGCAAACAUUUCCAAUGUGAAAGUGAAAAAGAUUUCUUUUAAAAAUAUAGUCAUCAUUCUUAAAUCACAGUGCAGCUGAGGCCCCCAUUUGGCUUCUCAGUCUAACAGCACCAGGAGGCCUGUUUGAGGGAAAACAUUGCUCUGAGGAAUUCCUCACUGUCCUUGCCCUCUCUUCAUGGGCACGGGGAUGUGGCCCCUCAGAAAAAUGAUUGCUUCUAGGUCCCUGGAAGAAGUGUUGGUAACAUAAAAAUUCCAAGCUAAGUUUUAAAUGAAAAAAAAUGGGCACAUUUAUUCAAAUAUCCUAGGGAUAGAGGGAUGGGGGCCACACUAACUCACACGCAACCCAGAACUUGUAGAAUUCUGCAAAAUGAAUGCAUAUUGAGUCAGUCCCCUGAUUUAUACAUUCAGAAAGAAUAAAGCUCAGUAAUGUGAGACAAA